rnacentral:lncRNA from 1 species
GCUAUGUUACCUCUUCUCCUGUUGAUCUAAAGGGUGUUACCGUUACCUACAAGAUUGAAUUUCAUCUAUACUGGCCUCCUUAUGCAACUCAUGCCUCUUAAUUAGGAACUUGAUUUGUUCUUAUUUUAGUUGAAGGCUCAUGUUUUACAAAGCUGUAUCAGAGCAGUUUUUGAAAUGAAAAACGUCAUGGUUUAUGUUUGGAAACUUAGUUUUUACAUUUGUAUUUUACAACUACUCCUACACUCAUCCAAUUAUGGUACACUAUAGUGAAUAUUGUAAUAAAUAUAAAGGAUUUUCAACAGUGACGGAUCCAGGAUUUCUUAGUUGUGGGGCCAAAACACACGCACGUACAUAUAAAUAAAAUAUAAAAGAUUUAGUGUGGGCAAAUAAUACAAAUAACAUAUAUUUUUUACUGUACAAACAAGCAAGAUACAUAGUAUUUAAAAAACAUUUAACCACAAGGGGUGACACAAGUGGUGACUGUCUAUUUUUUUAAGAGAUUUCACCUAGGCUUCUGACCCGGGUUUGAAAGAGGAGAAAAAAAUUAUGUGAUCCUUUGCAAGAUUGUGAAUGGAACUUGAAAGCAGCAGAGUAUUAGGUUCAAGCUGAGAGCAUGAGCAAACUAAACUUUCGCAGGUUCAAAUCUUUUAAUUUGUUUUCAGAUAGUAUUCACAAGCAAAAUAUAAAAAUCCCAGCAUAGAAGAUCAUAUACAAUAGAACGUAUAACCCUUGACAAUACGUUGAGGCAGUGAACAACUGUUUACAUUAUUUUACUUAUCGACUAUCCUAGGUUUAAUGAGGUAAUUUCAUAUGGUUCAACAAAACUUGCAUAAGCUUUGAAAUGAAAAGAUUGAUUUUCUUAAUGGAUGGAUGGGAUAACCAAACAAGAUAGCAAAUUAUAUACUAGGGUGUUUCUCAAAAAAUAGUCCUCAGUUCCUAACACGUGAACAAGGAAAGAUGGCACCUAAUCCUUACAGGCAGAAAGAGGCUAUCAAGAAAGUCUGAACAGUUUGUGAGCUGCUUAUUAUAUCAAGGAAAGUCUAAGCAGCCUUUUAUUUCCUUGAAAAAAGAAAAACUUAGGACAUUAGGUCAGGUGGUGGGGAUCAUUUUAUUUCAAAGACAUGUAUGUGCCGCAAUGAGUUUAUAAUGAACCUAAAUUUAUCAACAAAAGUCAAGAAUCCUAAUUGACAACAAGUUAUCAUAGUCAUUAAGAAAUUCCGUAAACUUGAAUAGCAGCGCAUUUAGUUUCCCACAUAUACAGUAACCUUGAUUUCUGAAAUAGUAUGAAUCAAUGAAUUUGGUAAAACGAAUACAAUAUAAACCUUGAAUGCUUCCAUCUUAAACAAGGCACAAAAAAAAAUUCAAAUAUACAAGAGGUGCAAGAAACACCGAUGAAGCAGCAAAAGCAGAACAUGAUUGUAGUUAUAUGAAUAUAUUUCUGAGAGCUGCAGUGUUUACAAAUUAGUAAAGAAAGAAUAAAUAUAUUAAGCAGCCAGAGGAAGCGUUAGGUGAAGAUAUAAUUCUUUGAAGUGAUUUCGGUGUAGUAGUAGAACUAAAGCCUCUUCCCGUGACUCCUGUUGCAAUACUUCAAAGAAAAACUUUAAUUGUUCAAAAUUGAUUUAUAUGGAAGUUAAACCCGGGGAUUGUGUAGGCGAGGUCUAUUGCAGAAAACCCGGCCGUUGGCCCGCACAAAUGCUGCUAUACCAACACUAAUGCUUGCCCACAUUAGCGAAAAGAACAAGUGCCGAAAAUCAUAUCGAACUGUAGGAAAAAUGAACAGUCAGGCUUAAAGAUAACCGAUUUUACACCAUAUGUGAUAAGUAGUUGAUUAAUCUAUACGUGGUUGGCCUUAACCCCAAGCUAGCAAAAUCUAUAUUAGACGGUUAAACAAGACAAAUAGAGACAAAACUUCACUAUGUAACAACUUGAUAAUAAUGUAAUCAGUACAGGAAUAUCUAAUUUACUCUGCUUGUAUUCCUGCAACGAGGGAAGGACAAAAAUUCUCAUAAUCUUUGAAAGUCACGUUUUGCUUAAAUAUCUAGAAAUCGGGCAUUUUACGAUGCUUCAAAUUCUUUCCUUGACAACCUAAUUAUUUUAUUAUGAAAACUAAAGAUCCAUAUUAGAAGUGGCUUUCCUCCUUAUAUAUAUUUUUUGAACGUCUUUCCUUUUCUUAUAUAAAAGAGCCUAAAAUUGCAUACAUGAAUUUGGGUCAGUACUGAAAUGACCCAUAUAUACAUAACCACCUAAAAAUGAGGCGGGGUCGCAUAAUCCUAUAAACCAUGAAAGUCACUAAUAUAGCGUAAUAAACAUAUAAUUCACACAUAUAGAGAAUUAAUAUACGUAAAUGAUGUCAGACCGUCCACGCAUGAAGAGGCUACCCAUCAUACAAAGAAGUCAUGACUAAAGACUCGUUUGAGUUAGGUGACUCAUCAUUGGGUGUGUAAUUGUGUCCACCACCGUAGAUAAGUUUACCGAUAUUUUUUAUGAACUUUUUUAUGUAAGUUACUAUUGUGGCGGCCUUGAAUUACAAACUAAAGGAACGCAACUUUGACUUAUUCUUAUCGUGUUCCCUUUACCUUAUCACUCAUUUACUAGUGCCACCUGCUCCACCAUUUUGAAAGGCAUUUUAUUUUAACUUGGAAAGAAGCAUCUCACCUAAAAUCACUUAAUAAAAGUAUAAAAAAAAAAGUGAACUGAAAAAUGAAAAAUCAAAUUUUUGCACGCAAUUCAAAAUGCAGUAAAGUAAUUUUGGCCCUUUCUACACUGCAACAAGGUCUUCAAGGAUUCACACAAAUUUUCCAACAUCUUAUAAUGACUAGACUAGUGAAUUUAGAAUUCCUUGACUCUGAUUCGCCAUCACCUGCAAUGCAACAUAACAAGCUAGCUUUUCACACUGUAAUGUGAAGUAUGAACCUAGUCUUUAUAAUGAGAUAUAACCCUCCCUUUUGUGAUCAAAACUUAGUUACAAAUCAUAGAUAGCUAUGGCUUAUGCUUUGCAAAACUAUGCUCUUAAUAUUUUUCUUUUGGCCUUGGCCUUAAUCCCAUUUGAGGGAGCCUGUGGCUCCCAUCAUCACCAAUUGCAGCACCUCAAAUCCCUUCACUUCUCUCUGUUUCAACAUGAAACCAUAAACAGAACAGGAUAUGUCAUAGUGAAUGGAGUGCAAGGAGGGCCAGGAAUCACUGAAACCACAACCCCUUUUGGCACUCUAUUUGUCUUUCAGGACCCUUUGACUGUCACAGCCAACAGAUCCUCCAAACUUGUUGGAAUUGCUGAGGGAACUUCCAUCACCUCAAGCCUUGAUGGGCUUCGCAGCAUUUCGAUUGCGAAGCUAACUCUGCGCCUGAAAAAUCACAGGGGUUCUGUUUCCAUUGUUGGAGGUACACAUAAUGUUAAGCCUUCAGAUCAUCCAAUAGUGGGAGGUACAGAAGAUUUCUUGUUUGUGCAAGGCUAUGUUACCUCUUCUCCUGUUGAUCUAAAGGGUGUUACCGUUACCUACAAGAUUGAAUUUCAUCUAUACUGGCCUCCUUAUGCAACUCAUGCCUCUUAAUUAGGAACUUGAUUUGUUCUUAUUUUAGUUGAAGGCUCAUGUUUUACAAAGCUGUAUCAGAGCAGUUUUUGAAAUGAAAAACGUCAUGGUUUAUGUUUGGAAACUUAGUUUUUACAUUUGUAUUUUACAACUACUCCUACACUCAUCCAAUUAUGGUACACUAUAGUGAAUAUUGUAAUAAAUAUAAAG